CCUACGGGGGGCAGCAGUGAGGAAUAUUGGUCAAUGGACGAGAGUCUGAACCAGCCAAGUAGCGUGAAGGAUGACUGCCCUAUGGGUUGUAAACUUCUUUUAUAAAGGAAUAAAACGAGGCACGUGUGCCUUUUUGCAUGUACUUUAUGAAUAAGGAUCGGCUAACUCCGUGCCAGCAGCCGCGGUAAUACGGGGGGUGCAAGCGUUGUCCGGAAUCAUUGGGCGUAAAGCGUUCGUAGGCGGUAUGUCAAGUCUGAUGUUAAAGCCCGGGGCUCAACUCCGGUUCGGCAUUGGAUACUGGCAAACUAGAAUGUGGUAGAGGUAAAGGGAAUUCCUGGUGUAGCGGUGAAAUGCGUAGAUAUCAGGAGGAACAUCGGUGGCGAAAGCGCUUUACUGGACCAUUAUUGACGCUGAGGAACGAAAGCCAGGGGAGCAAAUGGGAUUAGAUACCCUUGUAGUC
rnacentral:rRNA from 1 species